CCGCGUGGAGGAUGAAGCCCUUGGGCGUAACUCCUUUCGACCAAGACGAUGAUGACGGU
rnacentral:rRNA from 1 species